rnacentral:rRNA from 1 species
UACGGAGGGUGCAAGCGUUAUCCGGAUUUACUGGGUUUAAAGGGUGUGUAGGCGGGCCUUUAAGUCUGGGGUGAAAUCUCCGAGCUCAACUCGGAAACUGCCCUGGAUACUAUUGGCCUUGAAUUAUGUUGAGGUUGGCGGAAUAUAACAUGUAGCGGUGAAAUGCAUAGAUAUGUUAUAGAACACCGAUUGCGAAGGCAGCUAACUAAGCAUAUAUUGACGCUGAGGCACGAAAGCGUGGGGAGCAAACAGG